GAUGAACGCUGGCGGCGUGCCUAAUACAUGCAAGUCGAGCGAACGGACGAGAAGCUUGCUUCUCUGAUGUUAGCGGCGGACGGGUGAGUAACACGUGGAUAACCUACCUAUAAGACUGGGAUAACUUCGGGAAACCGUAGCUAAUACCGGAUAAUAUUUUGAACCGCAUGGUUCAAAAGUGAAAGACGGUCUUGCUGUCACUUAUAGAUGGAUCCGCGCUGCAUUAGCUAGUUGGUAAGGUAACGGCUUACCAAGGCAACGAUGCAUAGCCGACCUGAGAGGGUGAUCGGCCACACUGGAACUGAGACACGGUCCAGACUCCUACGGGAGGCAGCAGUAGGGAAUCUUCCGCAAUGGGCGAAAGCCUGACGGAGCAACGCCGCGUGAGUGAUGAAGGUCUUCGGAUCGUAAAACUCUGUUAUUAGGGAAGAACAUGUGUGUAAGUAACUGUGCACAUCUUGACGGUACCUAAUCAGAAAGCCACGGCUAACUACGUG
rnacentral:rRNA from 1 species